rnacentral:hammerhead_ribozyme from 1 species
GUACCCCCGAGGAGUCCCAUAAUAGGACGAAACGGCCGUCCAGUGC